rnacentral:rRNA from 1 species
GACGAACGCUGGCGGCGUGCUUAACACAUGCCAGUCGAACGGAAAGGCCCUGCUUUUGUGGGGUGCUCGAGUGGCGAACGGGUGAGUAACACGUGAGUAACCUGCCCUUGACUUUGGGAUAACUUCAGGAAACUGGGGCUAAUACCGGAUAGGAGCUCCUGCUGCAUGGUGGGGGUUGGAAAGUUUCGGCGGUUGGGGAUGGACUCGCGGCUUAUCAGCUUGUUGGUGGGGUAGUGGCUUACCAAGGCUUUGACGGGUAGCCGGCCUGAGAGGGUGACCGGCCACAUUGGGACUGAGAUACGGCCCAGACUCCUACGGGAGGCAGCAGUGGGGAAUAUUGCACAAUGGGCGGAAGCCUGAUGCAGCAACGCCGCGUGCAGGAUGACGGCCUUCGGGUUGUAAACCGCUUUCGCCUGUGACGAAGCGUGAGUGACGGUAAUGGGUAAAGAAGCACCGGCUAACUACGUG